GGCUCUUUGUUUUUCUGUUACAUUAAGGCUUUCCUAGGAACUUCUCUGCAUUCAACUCACUGUGCCUCUACUUCCUUCUUCAGAAGCAUCUUAAAUAUUAUUUAGCAUAUACUUAUUAUAACAUAUACUUAAAUAUCAUUUAGCACAUUAUUUAGAAUAUACUGCCUUUGUCCAACACUCCUUUCCCUGAGACUCAAUUCAUUCUAGUAGGCUUGUUUUGUCUGUCAUUAAAAUACUGACUUCCUCCAGCUGCUACUACCUCUUUCUUGGUCCUUUAAUUGUUCUCCUCAACCAUGAGUCAGCAGCUGGACUUGAUGGUCAGAACUCUCAUGGAGAAAAGAAAUUUUCUCUGGGUUCCAGCCUUAUGUGAUGUGUGCAUUCUUGGCUCAGAGGGGCUCAGUGUUGGGCUGCACUCAAGACUCAUUCUUCCUUAUGUUCCUCCUUGUCCUGGGAGGUGGGUCCUUUGCUUCCUGGCUUCCAGCUGGUCUAGCGGUGAGAUGACUGCAGGAGACCCGGGCAGGUCAGGACGUUUGUUCCCCUGGUGCUCUCUUUGUGGGAUUCCUCAGGUUCUCUCUCUGAUGGAAGGUCAGAGCACCUCCCAAGGGGGCCCUCUCCUCACGGUUCCGAGUUCUGCUAAGCACUCCCUUCCUCAACCCUAGGUAUGUGAUAGAUUAAAUUAUUGGCCCGAAUUCUUUGUCCUUCCUGGUAGCCACAUUUUUUGCCAGCAUGUGACUUUGCAGCUACUCUCAUAAAGGGGGCGGGGGCGGGGUGUAUAUUUCUCCUUGCCCUUGGGCUUGGGUCUGUGACUCACUCUGGUCAACGGAAUGUGAAUGAAACCAAUUGUUUACACCAGUUUCAAGCCCAGGCCUUUAGAAGCAUCAUGUGUUUCUGUGUCCCUUUUUGUGCCUCUGCCAGCUCCGUGAGAAGAGCUUCCCCUGUGCACUGCUGCCUUCCUCAGUCUGGGUCGUAGAAUGAACCUAUGUGGAGCAGCCCAGACCUUUAUCUGCAGAGGAGGGAAUCCCAGCAGGACACCAGCUUGAGGCAGAGCUCCCAGCUGAGCCAGCUGACCUCCAGUGAACCCACAGCCUGGGAGAAGCACAUGCUUAUUGCUGCAUUUCACCGAGAUUGUGUGAUAAAGGGUAGCAACACCCUACAGCUACUAGCACCAGGGUUCUGCACUUACCCCACAAAUACUCCCUUUAUUAAGCCCUUGGGGAGCCACCCUAAUUUGAGUGUCAUCUGUUUCCUGUAGUGACACCAAGUGAAUGACAUAGGCACCAGCCUAGCUCUUUCCUAACAUUAUAUCAUGUUGCCAGCAAAGCUCAAAAUAUGACAUUUGAUACCAGCAGCCCGUCUUCUGUUUCCCGUUUGCUACUCAAUAUUCUCCUGAAAGCCUGUUCUUAGAAGCUAAUAAUGACAUUUAAUUCUUUUUAUGUAUUAUUAAAAUUUUCAGCCUUUUAUUUGGAAAAAUUUUGGAACAUAUAGACAAGUAGAGAUAUUAUCAAGAACCUCCAGGUACUCAUGACCCACUUUUAACAAUGAUUGACACUUUGUCAAUCUUAUUUAAUCUCUUCCUCUCCUGUUUAUUUUCUAAACCUAAUGACCUUUCAGUUUCAAGAGGGAAUCAUAGCUCUAAUCUUCCUUUCUUUUAAACGUUAAUCUUUAUUGGAGUAUAGCUGCUCUUCAAUGUUGUGUCAGUUUCUACUGCACAGCAAAGUGCGUCAGUAAUACACAGACAUACAUUCACUCUUUUUCGGAUUUUCUUCCCAUUUAGGUCACCACAGGGCACUGAGUAGUUCUCUGAGCUCUACAGCAGGUUCUCAUUGAGGGAAGUUGCUCAGUUGUGUCCGACUCUCUUCGACCCCACGGACUGUAGCCUACCAGGCUCCUCCAUCCAUGGGAUUUUCCAGGCAAGAAUACUGGAGUGGGUUGCCAUUGCCCUCUCCAAGGUUCUCAUUAGUUAUCUAUUUUAUGCAUAGCAUCCCAACCCACACUGCCCCCCCCCCCCGCCCCAACCUCCUUAGCUCUAAUCUUCUGUGAUUUCUGUGCAGCAGUCACUACUAUGGCUCACCCUUCUUUUCUCUGCCCUUGCUAUCUGUCUCCUGAGUUUCCUUUAAUCUUUUGUGUCUGUUCUCAGUUUCCUGUGUUUGAUUUCUGACUUGGCUCUCAAAUGUUGGGAUUCCCAAGGGACUUGUCCUAUCCGACACCUAUUUUCCUUCUCUCUGUGCUCUCUUCCUGGGGGAGGUAAUCUGUGAGCCUGUUCUGUGUUUCUGGGCUCUACUUUCUGUCUGUCCACUAAGUGUCUCCACUUGGACGUUGUAUGUACGUCACAAACCAAACUCAGUAACUUCUCAGAACUUCUUCUCCACCUCCUCUUCUGGGUUCCCCAUCCCUGUUCGGACCUUCUGUAGUGCCCUGUCAUAUAACUAGAUGUGUUAUUCCUUUCUUUGAUGCAGACCUGACCAAUGUGUUCCUCUAAAUGCUAGCAUCAUUAUUCUAAAUCACAUCAUGCUAACACCAUCCCAACUUGGAAAUCUUCUAUGGCUCUGUUCAGAAUAUAUUGUAAACAUUUUGGUGUGAUAUUGAAGCCUCUCCACCCCUUUCGUUCUAAUCUCAGCUUCCAUACCCCGUCCUCCAAACAUCUGGCCCUGCUUGUUUCCCCAUAAUGCACCACAUACUUUCAUGUGGCCUGGCCUUAUGCUCAUCACUCUUUUAUUUUUUAAGAUUGAAAACAAUGUGGCUCUGUUUCUCAAAUGCUAAUUUCAAAGUGACCCCCUUCUGUCAUUCUUGAAUCACCCUUGCUCUUCUGAGAUUCUUGCUGACAUUUGAAUUUGCUGUUCCUGCCAAAGGAAACAGUCAACACGGUAUUUUUUUUGAGCAGCCUCAUUAGAGCUUCUCUUUUCAAAAGGGACCGAUUUACCAUGGCAAUGAGAUAUUGUCUCCAUAGAAAUACUGGCCGUGUAAAGUUUCUGACUCUCUGUAGGACUUUGAUUCCUGCCCCCCAAGGCAGGAAUGGUGUGCUACUCAUCUCUUUAAGUAUCUCCAGUGCCUGGCAUACAGGAAAUGCCUCAUAAGAAGAUCUGACCAGUCGAUCCUAAAGGAAAUCAGUCCUGAAUAUUCACUGGAAGAACUGAUGCCGAAGCUGAAACUCCUAUACUUUGGCCACCUGAUCCCAAGAACUGACUCAAUGGAAAAGACCCUGAUGCUGGGAAAGACUGAAGGCUGGAGGAGAAGGGGAUGACAGAGGAUGAGAUGGUUGGAUGGCAUCACCGACUCAAUGGACAUGGGUUUGGGUGGACUCCGGGAGCUGGUGACGGACAGGGAAGCCUGGUAUGCUGCAGUCCAUGCGGUCGCAAAGGGUCAGACACUACUGAGCAACUGAACUGAACUGAACUGAAUAUAUCCAAUUCCAAAUAUAGAUACAGUUUAAAGAAUGACAAGGAAAUAAACACAGUCACUACCUAGUUUGAAAUAGAAGAUUAGUCAUUUGAAGCACUAUGAGUCGUCUUUUUUUUUUUUUUUUUUUCAGGUGCAUCCCUUCCCUACCAUAUGGAAAAUUUAAAAUAUGCAGAACAAUACUAUAUGUUUUUAUGUAAAAGUAUAAAAACAUACGUAUAAUGAUAAAUACCAACUGAAGAUAGCAGUUAUCUCCGGAAGGAAAGAGAAUGGAAUUAGAUAGGGAUAUGAGGGUUUCUAACCGAUCUGUAAUGUUUCAUUAAAAAAAAAUGAUGUCAAGCAAAUGGGGCAAAAUGUAAAGAUCUGGCUGUGUUUGCUACAUUAUUCUCAGAGAGCAUAAAGCCAAAAUAGCACAAGGGGUUGAGUACACAAGUUCUGGAACCAAAUAGGUUUAGAUUUAUUUGUGCCUGCUUAAGUUACUAUCUGUAGAAGUUGUACAAAUGACUUAGCCUCCUUGCAACUCAGUUUUUCUUAUCAAUAAAAUGGAGAUUAUAAUAAUACUUAUAUUUACUUUAUAGUAUUGUUGUGAGCAUGACAUUAGUUUACGGAAAACACUGAAAGUGUUUGGCACAUAUGAGCAGGCAAUAAAUGUUAAUUAGCAGCAGUAGGAAGUUUUACAAGUUUUAUAAACUUCUCUUAAGAAACUGCAAACACACACACACACACACACACACACACACACACACACAGACCCAAAUUCCUAAGCUACAGAAUCACAGUCAUUUAUUUGAAACUCUUGGGGCAGACAUUUUAUAUUUCAGAACUUUUUGUUAUUUAUUAUGUCACAUCCCUAGUGGGGUCUGGGACAACAUGUCCUAAUCAAACACAUUAUUAUUUCUGCAAUAAAAAUUAUGAAUAUUCAUUAAGUAAGAUACAUAAAGACUGAAAAGCUUCAUGUUAGUUCAGGUCAGGUUUUACCACCAAAGGAUUUUGCUGCCAGCUUUUCAAAAACUUUCAGUUUUCAGAGUGUUUUGGAAUCUAGACCUGCAUUUAAAAGGAUCAUGGACCUUUACUGUACUUCAUCCACCUUAUGAGUACGUUCUUAAAAAGAAUGAGGCAGCUGGACAUAUUGAAAUGAUGAGGUAAGGCAUAUGUUAAGUAAUAAUACCAUAUGUGUUAGAGUAUUUGGCAAUUGGCCAAAUAAUAUAUAUAAUAUAAUUCCUGUUACAUUUAUAGAAAGAGACUUCCACUUUUUUUUUUUUUUUUACGUAUAUAGGAUAAAUGCAUUGAAAGGAGACAAAGUCAGGUCAGCUGCUUGCCUCUGAAAAGC
ensembl:lncRNA